ensembl:snoRNA
ACUGACGCUAGAGUCACAUCCUGACAGCUCUUGUCCUGGUGUGCUAGACCCCACAAAAAAUCUGCUCGUCUGGUACUGGCGAGGGCGAUCAGCCCCCAGAAGCACCCAGGUCAGAAACAUGC